UCCUGGUUAACCCAGGCAGUCUCGCUAGAGUCCCCACCUUAAAUGCUGGCAACUAACGAUAAGGGUUGCGCUCGUUGCGGGACUUAACCCAACACCUCACGGCACGAGCUGACGACAGCCAUGCAGCACCUGUGUAGCAGUCCCGAAGGAAAACGCCAUCUCUGGCGCGGUCCACUACAUGUCAAGCCUGGGUAAGGUUCUUCGCGUUGCAUCGAAUUAAACCACAUGCUCCACUGCUUGUGCGGGUCCCCGUCAAUUCUUUUGAGUUUCACCCUUGCGAGCGUACUCCCCAGGCGGUAUACUUAACACGUUAGCUACGGCACAGUUGGGGUUGAGACCAACUACACCAAGUAUACAUCGUUUACAGCUAGGACUAC
rnacentral:misc_RNA from 1 species